AGCGAACGCUGGCGGCAGGCUUAACACAUGCAAGUCGAGCGCCCCGCAAGGGGAGCGGCAGACGGGUGAGUAACGCGUGGGAAUCUACCCAUCCCUACGGAAUAGCUCCGGGAAACUGGAAUUAAUACCGUAUACGCCCUACGGGGGAAAGAUUUAUCGGGGAUGGAUGAGCCCGCGUUGGAUUAGCUAGUUGGUGGGGUAAAGGCCUACCAAGGCGACGAUCCAUAGCUGGUCUGAGAGGAUGAUCAGCCACAUUGGGACUGAGAAACGGCCCAAACUCCUACGGGAGGCAGCAGUGGGGAAUAUUGGACAAUGGGGGCAACCCUGAUCCAGCCAUGCCGCGUGAGUGAUGAAGGCCUUAGGGUUGUAAAGCUCUUUCACCGGGGAAGAUAAUGACGGUACCCGGAGAAGAAGCCCCGGCUAACUUCGUGCCAGCCGCCGCAGUAAUAC
rnacentral:rRNA from 1 species